rnacentral:rRNA from 1 species
AGUGAACGCUGGCGGUAGGCCUAACACAUGCAAGUCGAACGGCAGCAUAAGAGAGCUUGCUCUCUGGGUGGCGAGUGGCGGACGGGUGAGGAAUACAUCGGAAUCUACUCUGUCGUGGGGGAUAACGUAGGGAAACUUACGCUAAUACCGCAUACGACCUACGGGUGAAAGCAGGGGACCUUCGGGCCUUGCGCGAUUGAAUGAGCCGAUGUCGGAUUAGCUAGUUGGCGGGGUAAAGGCCCACCAAGGCGACGAUCCGUAGCUGGUCUGAGAGGAUGAUCAGCCACACUGGAACUGAGACACGGUCCAGACUCCUACGGGAGGCAGCAGUGGGGAAUAUUGGACAAUGGGCGCAAGCCUGAUCCAGCCAUACCGCGUGGGUGAAGAAGGCCUUCGGGUUGUAAAGCCCUUUUGUUGGGAAAGAAAUCCAGCUGGCUAAUACCCGGUUGGGAUGACGGUACCCAAAGAAUAAGCACCGGCUAACUUCGUGCCAGCAGCCGCGGUAA